GACGUAGGGCGCGAGCGUUGUCCGGAUUUAUUGGGCGUAAAGAGCUCGUAGGCGGUUUGUCGCGUCUGCUGUGAAAACUGGAGGCUCAACCUCCAGCCUGCAGUGGGUACGGGCAGACUAGAGUGCGGUAGGGGAGAUUGGAAUUCCUGGUGUAGCGGUGGAAUGCGCAGAUAUCAGGAGGAACACCGAUGGCGAAGGCAGAUCUCUGGGCCGUAACUGACGCUGAGGAGCGAAAAGCAUGGGUAGCGAACAGG
rnacentral:rRNA from 1 species